UAGGGAAUCUUCCGCAAUGGGCGAAAGCCUGACGGAGCAACGCCGCGUGAGUGAUGAAGGUCUUCGGAUCGUAAAACUCUGUUAUUAGGGAAGAACAAAUGUGUAAGUAACUAUGCACGUCUUGACGGUACCUAAUCAGAAAGCCACGGCUAACUACGUGCCAGCAGCCGCGGUAAUACGUAGGUGGCAAGCGUUAUCCGGAAUUAUUGGGCGUAAAGCGCGCGUAGGCGGUUUUUUAAGUCUGAUGUGAAAGCCCACGGCUCAACCGUGGAGGGUCAAUGGAAACUGGAAAAAUGGAGUGCAGAGGAGGAAAGUGGAAUUCCAAGUGUAGCGAUGAAAUGCGCAGAGAUAUGGAGGAAAACCAGUGGCGAAGGCGACUUGCUGGUCUGUAACUGACGCUGAUGUGCGAAAGCGGGGGGAUCAAACAGG
rnacentral:rRNA from 1 species